rnacentral:lncRNA from 1 species
GGAAAAAGAAGAAAGAGGGGAGAAGACUGGGGCUAGUGAGAUGGAAGGAAGGAGCACCACUGGGCCAAGUUCAGAAUUCAGACAAAGGAGAGUAGUUCAAGUCUGCAUGUACCAAGGAGAGUCAUAGAAACCAGUCAGCCCACACGAAGAAGGAUUCCCUCUGAGAAGACUCCAAUGAAACAUGUGAGUUAUAUCUAACUAUCUGCAGGUAUGUCAUGUAGAGAAACCAAGACUUGUUCUUUUGUUCCUGAGGGACAU